rnacentral:rRNA from 1 species
AUGAACGCUGGCGGCGUGCCUCAUACAUGCAAGUCGAGCGAACAGAUGAGGAGCUUGCUCCUCUGACGUUAGCGGCGGACGGGUGAGUAACACGUGGCUAACCUACCUAUAAGACUGGGAUAACUUCGGGAAACCGGAGCUAAUACCGGAUAAUAUAUUGAACCGCAUGGUUCAAUAGUGAAAGACGGUUUUGCUGUCACUUAUAGAUGGAUCCGCGCCGCAUUAGCUAGUUGGUAAGGUAACGGCUUACCAAGGCAACGAUGCGUAGCCGACCUGAGAGGGUGAUCGGCCACACUGGAACUGAGACACGGUCCAGACUCCUACGGGAGGCAGCAGUAGGGAAUCUUCCGCAAUGGGCGAAAGCUUGACGGAGCAACGCCGCGUGAGUGAUGAAGGUCUUCGGAUCGUAAAACUCUGUUAUUAGGGAAGAACAAAUGUGUAAGUAACUAUGCACGUCUUGACGGUACCUAAUCAGAAAGCCACGGCUAACUACGUG